rnacentral:tRNA from 1 species
GCAGCCGUCAUAUAACGGUAUUACCCCAGCUUCCCAAGCUGGAGACGCGGGUUCGACUCCCGUCGGCUGCU